AGACGCUUCGGAAUCUGCGUUGGCACAAAUUGAAAAGAGUUAACAAACACAUCACAAAACGAUUUACCCUGGGUAGUUGUGCAUUGUACAUCGAGCAGAAUUGCAGAAUUUGCGUCGGCACUCGCUGGCAAUUGUACAAUACAGGAUUUUAACGAACCUGUUGAUUAAAGAGAUCCGCGGGAUGGUAUUAUUCUAGGAGGAAGCAUAGCUGAGAGCGGUAGCAUUUUAUUAUCGAUGCAGAACGCUUACAAUCAACGCUGAUUUCUGCGCCUUGCCUGGCACUCAAUGAUGAAGAAUCUGGACAAACAGAGAGAAAAUACAACAGAAACUAAGAUAUCAGAAACUCGAUCGGGAAAAAUCGACACGGUUAUAUCCGAAGACCGAAUCGGGAAUUACUUCUAUCGUGUUUUAAAUACGCAACCGACAGGCUUGAAGAAAUCCGUGAUGGAAAAUCGUGAUAUGGAGAAACAGUUAAUGGAGAGUAUUGACCAAUUGGAUACCGAACGCAGUCGAAUUAUGAUGAAGUUUGAUAAGGAGCGAGAGGCGAUUCGCGCAAGGUUGAAGGACAUGGCCAUUGGAUCAAAUAGCAAACGUAAUGACAGUAUGAGCGCACCUACAGCGGCAGAUAAACCUGAUGGAUAUGAAGAUACUUCAAUUGAGGAUAUUAACAUCCUAUCGUUGAAAGAUACCAAGGAUGACACGCGGUUAUCAGCUCUUAGACAAAAACUUAAAAGUAAGCAGGCGAAGUCACUGGAAAACCUCUACGUACAGAGAGAGGACUCUGGUAUUGCUCCACUAAUUUUAAACAGGCAUAAAAGUCUAGAAAGUUUAAUGUCAAGUACAUCACAUGAUAAACUACCAUUCCAGAGAGGAAACCAGAUUCCAUUAAAGUUUUCUCCCAGGAAUAGACAGACUCAAAAAGGAGGAAAACUACCUCCAAUUAUGAAAAUGAAUCUUCGGGGAAGCUUCGACCAAUUGGAUUCCAUUAUUGAAUCGGAUGAUGAGAUAGACGUUCCGCGUCGGAGGGCCAUCAGUUUUGGUGCGGUCGAGGGCGGAAUUAAGCGACCACGACGCCGUCUUAUCAUUCCUGAUAUUAUAGUACAGGACUUCGAGGCUCUCGCUCCAGAUGACGAAAAAUCAAGAAGUUUGGACGACGUUCAAAUCUUACCCAAAACCAAUAUUCACAGAAUGGGUACGAAUAAAAUCAAUAUGACAUCUUCGACUUGGCAAAAUGAAAAAGACGACAAUGCAACAAGUACCACCUCGCCGACGUUCAAUAGAAACAGUUCAACUCCCACUCUGCCUCCAAUUAAUGCGAAUUCUGCUAUGGCUGAAAAUGAAUCGAAACGUUCACAUAACACGCAGUUUUCAAAUGAUGAUACAAUAAAAAUGCCACCCUGAGGAAAUCCAGCAAUAUAUCAGGCGUUUGUCUACUUAAAAUUGCUCCCUUGUGAAUCCUCAGACAAAGGCGACGAUUACCCUUUACACGUGGGAGAAUAACUUCAUAUCCACGGAUUGUGAGUUAUUGCUCAGUCGAGAGACAUUCUUCAAACAGUACAUGAUAUGUUGCUUUGUGAAGAUAUGAUGUUAUGCCAGCUGAACGGAAAUGGAUAACGAUUUAUGGACCGUGAUCGAAGAUGGCCGAAGAUUAAAUCUAACCCUUCAAGGAAUUUGAUUGGUUAGGGUUAGAUAUUCGGCCUUCUCCGUA
rnacentral:misc_RNA from 1 species